CAAGAACUCAAGAAAAUUGCCAUACGGCUUGAGGAAAAGAUUUAUACUACCGCCACCAAUGAAAUAUUUGCCUAAUGCGAGUUUGAUUAUCUGCGUAAAAUAUCUCUGGAGAUGCUUUCGAUGGAGAUCAGGUCUCAAAAUGCCAUGCCCACUGCCCCCAUGGAUCCAGCAGCCGCCUCUUCUUCCCCCAACCCUGAAAAUUGUCGGAGGACAAUUUUAUGCUUUGAA